rnacentral:rRNA from 1 species
GACGAACGCUGGCGGCGUGCUUAACACAUGCAAGUCGAACGGAAAGGCCCUGCUUUUGUGGGGUGCUCGAGUGGCGAACGGGUGAGUAACACGUGAGUAACCUGCCCUUGACUUUGGGAUAACUUCAGGAAACUGGGGCUAAUACCGGAUAGGAGCUCCUGCUGCAUGGUGGGGGUUGGAAAGUUUCGGCGGUUGGGGAUGGACUCGCGGCUUAUCAGCUUGUUGGUGGGGUAGUGGCUUACCAAGGCUUUGACGGGUAGCCGGCCUGAGAGGGUGACCGGCCACAUUGGGACUGAGAUACGGCCCAGACUCCUACGGGAGGCAGCAGUGGGGAAUAUUGCACAAUGGGCGGAAGCCUGAUGCAGAAACGCCGCGUGCGGGAUGACGGCCUUCGGGUUGUAAACCGCUUUCGCCUGUGACGAAGCGUGAGUGACGGUAAUGGGUAAAGAAGCACCGGCUAACUACGU